rnacentral:rRNA from 1 species
GUCUGUGGCCAUAUCACCCUGAACACACCUGAUCUUAUCUGAUCUUGGAAACUCAACAGCGUCAGGCUUGGUUAGUGGAUGGGAAACGAAUAUACUUGAGUUGGAGGGA